AUGCAAGUCGUACGGGAUUGAUUGAGUAGUAAUACAAGAUCAGUCUAGUGGCGCACGGGUGAGUAACAUGUGAAUUACAUGCCCUACAGUGGGGAAUAGCCCAGGGAAACUUGGAUUAAUACCCCAUAGUCUCGCAAGAGUAAAGGUGGCCGCAAGGCUGUCGCUAUAGGAUUGGUUCGCACCCUAUCAGCUUGUUGGUGAGGUAACGGCUCACCAAGGCUACGACGGGUACCUGGUCUGAGAGGACGAUCAGGCACACUGGAACUGAGACACGGUCCAGACACCUACGGGUGGCAGCAGUCGAGAAUAAUUCACAAUGGGGGCAACCCUGAUGGUGCAACGCCGCGUGGAGGAUGACGGUCUUCGGAUUGUAAACUCCUGUCAUCUGGGAGUAAGGCAUGGUUGUUAAUAGCAAACAUGAUUGAUAGUACCAGAAGAGGAAGGGACGGCUAACUUCGUGCCAGCAGCCGCGGUAAUACGAAGGUCCCAAGCGUUGUUCGGAAUCACUGGGCGUAAAGGGAGCGUAGGCGGCGUGGUAAGUCAGAUGUGAAAUCCCGGGGCUCAACCCCGGAACUGCAUCCGAUACUGCCAUGCUAGAGGAUUGGAGAGGUAGCUGGAAUUCUUGGUGUAGCAGUGAAAUGCGUAGAGAUCAAGAGGAACACUCGUGGCGAAAGCGAGCUACUGGACAAUUCCUGACGCUGAGGCUCGAAGGCUAGGGUAGCGAAAGGGAUUAGAUACCCCUGUAGUCCUAGCAGUAAACGGUGCACGCUUGGUGUGAGGGGAAUCGACCCCCCUUGUGCCGGGAGCUAACGCGUUAAGCGUGCCGCCUGGGAAGUACGGUCGCAAGACUAAAACUCAAAGAAAUUGACGGGGACCCGCACAAGCGGUGGAGUAUGUGGCUUAAUUCGAUGCAACGCGAAGAACCUUACCAAGGCUUGACAUGCAUCUCUAAACACGUGAAAGCGUGUGACCCUUCGGGGAAUUUGCACAGGUGCUGCAUGGCCGUCGUCAGU
rnacentral:rRNA from 1 species